rnacentral:misc_RNA from 1 species
AUGAAAAGAAAGAAUAAGAAAAACUUUCACUAUUUUAGAGGAACACAAGUAAAAAAAAAAUUCUAAGUAAAAUAAAGAAAAGUUACAAGAACAGAAGAUAUAAGCAAUAACAACAUAGUAGAUUUGGACACCAAGAAACUUUAGGAUCUACAUAUUUUAAUUCAUCCGACACCAGCAGAGCGAUACAAACAACCGAGAAAUCAAAUGUUACUUUGUAGAAUAUAAUAAGAAAUGCAAUUUGAUCAAUUAAGUCUAACCUUCAAUUUCCUCAUCAUCAAGUG